CAGACGGCUGCAGAUCACCAACAAGAAGCUGUCAACGACCUGUCUCCAGGGCUGGGAGUACUUAACGGGAAGAAAAACUGCCAUUAUGCCUCAGGGGUCCGCGGCGCUACGCACCUCGAUCCGGGGAGAAAACGGCACCACACCAGAUUCAAUUGCUGCCUUUCAAGCACUCUGUCUUUCCCCUCGCACCACAAAAGCACCGCGAGGAAGCGUAACCCACACAACCAUGGUCAAAGCGACGUUUUAGACCCAUGCUGGCAACCGCGGGAGCAGCCAGAAAGACUUCUACUCCCCCCUCCUUGAACCAGAUCCGGC